AACGAACGCUGGCGGCAUGCCUAACACAUGCAAGUCGAACGAGACCUUCGGGUCUAGUGGCGCACGGGUGCGUAACGCGUGGGAACCUGCCCUUAGGUUCGGAAUAACUCCCCGAAAGGGGUGCUAAUACCGGAUAAUGUCUUCGGACCAAAGAUUUAUCGCCUUUGGAUGGGCCCGCGUUGGAUUAGCUAGUUGGUAGGGUAAAAGCCUACCAAGGCGACGAUCCAUAGCUGGUCUGAGAGGAUGAUCAGCCACACUGGGACUGAGACACGGCCCAGACUCCUACGGGAGGUAGCAGUGGGGAAUAUUGGACAAUGGGCGAAAGCCUGAUCCAGCAAUGCCGCGUGAGUGAUGAAGGCCUUAGGGUUGUAAAGCUCUUUUACCCGGGAUGAUAAUGACAGUACCGGGAGAAUGAGCUCCGGCUAACUCCGUG
rnacentral:rRNA from 1 species